rnacentral:rRNA from 1 species
GCGGCCUAUCAGCUUGUUGGUGGGGUAAUGGCCUACCAAGGCGGCGACGGGUAGCCGGCCUGAGAGGGUGUACGGCCACAUUGGGACUGAGAUACGGCCCAGACUCCUACGGGAGGCAGCAGUGGGGAAUAUUGCACAAUGGGCGCAAGCCUGAUGCAGCGACGCCGCGUGGGGGAUGAAGGCCUUCGGGUUGUAAACUCCUUUCGCUAGGGACGAAGCUUUUUGUGACGGUACCUAGAUAAGAAGCACCGGCUAACUACGUGCCAGCAGCCGCGGUAAUACGUAGGGUGCGAGCGUUGUCCGGAAUUACUGGGCGUAAAGGGCUCGUAGGUGGUUUGUCGCGUCGUCUGUGAAAUUCUGGGGCUUAACUCCGGGCGUGCAGGCGAUACGGGCAUAACUUGAGUGCUGUAGGGGUAACUGGAAUUCCUGGUGUAGCGGUGAAAUGCGCAGAUAUCAGGAGGAACACCGAUGGCGAAGGCAGGUUACUGGGCAGUUACUGACGCUGAGGAGCGAAAGCAUGGGUAGCGAACAGGAUUAGAU